ACUUGUCUGGGGUAUAUCUAAACGUACCGCUGCGGACAACAGAACCUGAACCAGAAAACCACGAGCCCUGACAAUAAUGAAUAACAUGGAUCUGUUCCUCAUCGGUGUCCUCAACUAUCAUAUGAUGCCAAUAUGUUGAAGAUCCUUCCUCGACAAUAUGGUCACCUAGUUUGAGAUUUUUAAGUUUAAACCUUUCUUUCCUGUGGUGAAAACAUCGACCAAAGCGAUUUGCAACUCUGUCGCCGCUCAUUUUGACACACUAACGUUGCUGAGAGUGAAAUAUUGUUAUUAGAAUGAUACAAUUUACAACUUUGUCUUUGUUCGUCAACGGUG